GCGUGUUUGGUCAACGAACGAUACGAGGUUCUAUUCGUGAAUACCGGCACUGUUAAGUGGUUCAACGAAACCAAAGGCUACGGCUUCAUUCAGCCCGAUGACGGCGGCAAGGACGUGUUCGUUCACAUCUCCGCCGUCGAGCGCGCGGGAAUGCGCAACCUCAUUGAAGGUCAGAAGGUCUCCUACGAGAUCCAGACCGACAAGCGCAGCGGCAAGGAUUCGGCUGGUAACCUCCAGGCGGCCUGACGCACCCGGCGCCAGCCCUCGGGGCUGGCGUCACC
rnacentral:misc_RNA from 1 species